UUGCCCCACAAUGUCCUUCCCUCGUUGGAACAGCCAUUUUCUAUUGCAGGUCCCGGUCGGAGUAUCAUACCUUCGAUCGAUAGAAUUUGUUCCGGCCGGUUCACCGAUCUUAAAAUUCGUCGGAUCACCAUGGCUGAAUAAGUGUCCAUGGGCGACACACUCCAACUCAGAUAAACCCAUUGCCUAGGCAGAUCCAUGACUUUCCAACAAAGGCACGACCAUCCAACCUAGGCGAGUGAAUUAAUUACCAUGGGACAUGUCCGAGCAAUGCUUUGGGGAAAGCACCGUUCACUCAUCUCAGACUAAUGCCUAGUUGGAUCCAUCUCUUCCCGCCCAGAAGACACAACCAUCCGACUAGGCGAGCGAAAACCGAUAGGGACUUGCUGCUUUUGGAAGUUUUCCCGCAAACAACAGAUGGUCUUUUUGAAUAAACCGUACCUUUUACCGUCGGCGAAGACGGUUUGUACCAUCACAAAAUCCUACAGACUACCCGGCAUGAGAAAGAGACCUAAGACCCGCAGGAAACGCAUCAAAUUCCUGAGUUCAUGACGAACAGCAAGACGAAGGAUCAGAUUCUAGGCAACCGAGUGCACCGCGUGGGAGUGAUCUUGUCUGUGAGCAUAGCUAUAAGACGUGUCUAAACCCGUGCGGGACUCAGUGCUUCGAACCCGAUUACCGAUUCGGACACCCUUUGGACUUCCUUCGUCACGCCAUGUCCCUACCUUGUUGGAAUCGACGUUUUCAAUAGCAGGUCCCGGUCGCAGUAUCAUACCUUCGAUCAAUAGAAUUCGUUCCGGCCGGUUACCCGAGCUUAAAAUUUGUCGGGUCACCGUUGUUGCUGAAUAAGUGUCCAUGGGCGACACACUCCAACUCAGCUAAACCCAUUGCCCAGGCAGAUCCAUGACUUCCCAACAAAGACACGACCAUCCAACCUAGGCGAGUGAAUUGAUUACCGUGGGACACGUCCGAGCAAUGCUUUGGGGAAAGCAUUGUUCACUCACCUCGGACUAAUGCCUAUUUGGAUCCAUGUCUUUCCCCAAAAGACACGACCAUCCAACUAGGCGAGUGUAUUGAUGACCGUGGGUCACCGUCCGAACAAUACGCAGGGGACGCAUUGUUCACUCAUCUCGGACUAAUGCCUACUUGGAUCCAUGCAUUCCCCUGAAAAACACGACCAUCCAACUAGGCAAAAUCAAC
rnacentral:lncRNA from 1 species